rnacentral:rRNA from 1 species
AGGCCCCUUCGGGGGUACUCGAGUGGCGAACGGGUGAGUAACACGUGGGCAAUCUGCCCUGCACUUCGGGAUAAGCCUGGGAAACUGGGUCUAAUACCGGAUAGGACCUUUAGGCGCAUGUCUUUAGGUGGAAAGCUUUUGCGGUGUGGGAUGGGCCCGCGGCCUAUCAGCUUGUUGGUGGGGUGAUGGCCUACCAAGGCGACGACGGGUAGCCGGCCUGAGAGGGUGUCCGGCCGCACUGGGACUGAGAUACGGCCCAGACUCCUACGGGAGGCAGCAGUGGGGAAUAUUGCACAAUGGGCGCAAGCCUGAUGCAGCGACGCCGCGUGGGGGAUGACGGCCUUCGGGUUGUAAACCUCUUUCACCAUCGACGAAGGUCCGGGUUUUCUCGGAUUGACGGUAGGUGGAGAAGAAGCACCGGCCAACUACGUGCCAGCAGCCGCGGUAAUACGUAGGGUGCGAGCGCUGUCCGGAAUUACUGGGCGUAAAGAGCUCGUAGGUGGUUUGUCGCGUUGUUCGUGAAAUCUCACGGCUUAACUGUGAGCGUGCGGGCGAUACGGGCAGACUAGAGUACUGCAGGGGAGACUGGAAUUCCUGGUGUAGCGGUGGAAUGCGCAGAUAUCAGGAGGAACACCGGUGGCGAAGGCGGGUCUCUGGGCAGUAACUGACGCUGAGGAGCGAAAGCGUGGGGAGCGAACAGGAUUAGAUACCCUGGUAGUCCACGCCGUAAACGGUGGGUACUAGGUGUGGGUUUCCUUCCCUUGGGAUCCGUGCCGUAGCUAACGCAUU